AGAUCAAUGAUGAGAACUUUUUAUUGUCUGAAGAGAGGUGAUGAUUUAAAAAUCAUGCUUAAUAGGAUUAUGCUGAGGCCA
rnacentral:snoRNA from 1 species